UAUUGAAAUAUGGUUAGAUGGAUUGUUUGAAAACCAGGGUUUCAAUAUACAAUGGAUGGGGCGUGAAUGACGUCACUCUAAUUUCUGAAAAUCGAAUGGCAAAUCACUCCCUGAAAUUCGGUAAGAGACUGAGAGAGAAGAGGGUGGCGAUGGAGCUAAGCGGGUUAGACUCAGAUGGCAAAGUGUUCAAGAACGCAGAAGAUAUGUGGAGAGAACAAAUUGGCGAAGAAGGUGAACCCCACAAGAAGGCUCAGUGGUACCGGGAAGGAGUUUCAUAUUGGGAAGGCGUGGAGGCAUCGGAUGAUGGCGUGUUAGGUGGCUUUGGAAAGGUUAAUGAUGUUGAUAUAAAGGGCAGUGAAGCUUUUUUACAGAACCUUUUCUUCGAACGCUUUAACAACGCGGCCAGAACUGACCAUCUUGUUGCUCUUGAUUGUGGUUCUGGGAUUGGGAGAAUCACCAAGAAUCUGUUGAUAAGAUAUUUUAAUGAGGUUGAUCUUCUUGAGCCUGUGUCUCAUUUCUUAGAUGCUGCCCGUGAAAGUUUAGCUAACCAUGUGGCCUCUGAUACGCACAAGGCUGCUAAUUUUUUUUGUGUUCCUCUUCAGGAAUUUACACCAGAUGCUGGAAAAUAUGAUGUCAUAUGGAUUCAGUGGUGCAUUGGGCAUUUGACCGAUGAUGACCUUGUUUCAUUCUUUAAGAGAGCUAAGAAUGGGCUUAAACCUGGUGGAUUUUUUGUCCUGAAGGAGAAUAUUGCAAGAAGUGGUUGCAGGAUUUGUUUUGGACAAUGAAGAUCGAAGUAUUACGAGAUCUGAUUUAUACUUCAAGGAGCUUUUCAGUCGAUGUGGACUACACAUCUACAAAUCCAAGGAUCAGAAGGGAUUUCCUGAGGAGUUAUUCGCUGUGAAGAUGUAUGCUUUAACAAGUGAUAUGCCAAAAAAAGUGCACAAGACCAGAUCUAAAACACGAGCAAACAGGCCUGGCAUCAUCCCAUGAAGCUGUGCUAUUUGAACUUCUCAUUGCUGUCAAUGUUAUACAUCUUGCUAAUUGGGACAUCUUCACUAGUCAGUGAAUGCAAUUAGACCUUUAUCUUUUUGGAAGCUUUCAUCAUCAAAAGUCUUCCUAAAAUAUGCUAUUUCGGCACUAAUGUUUUUAGAUUUGGACUAGGUCUUGACCCAUUCAAAGGGUUGGUCUGUAGAUAGAUCAGUCCGAUUAGCUAGGCAGACUAGUGAUGACAGUAUGAUAUAAUUAAAAUUUUAAAAUAGGUUUUAAUCAUGUUGACAUUAGCAUGAUGGUCAGACUGGUCUGAUUCGAAGGUUGAAUUGCGGCUUGACAUGAUUCAUCUGGUUCAACCUCGAGGUACACUGGUCCAUAUUUGUAACACUGUUCGGCACAUGUCCUUAAUUUAUUUAGACAUGGGAUUGACCUUUUGGUAAGCUCUUUUUUACCUGUCAAGCUUGACACAAUCAAUUUGAAAUAUUUCUGGAUUAUGAUUCAA